rnacentral:rRNA from 1 species
UUGAACGCUGGCGGAAUGCUUUACACAUGCAAGUCGAGCGGCAGCGCGGGGGCAACCCUGGCGGCGAGCGGCGAACGGGUGAGUAAUACAUCGGAACGUACCCAGUCGUGGGGGAUAGCCCGGCGAAAGCCGGAUUAAUACCGCAUACGUCCUGAGGGAGAAAGCGGGGGACCGCAAGGCCUCGCGCGAUUGGAGCGGCCGAUGCCGGAUUAGCUUGUUGGUGGGGUAAAGGCCUACCAAGGCGACGAUCCGUAGCUGGUCUGAGAGGACGACCAGCCACACUGGGACUGAGACACGGCCCAGACUCCUACGGGAGGCAGCAGUGGGGAAUUUUGGACAAUGGGGGCAACCCUGAUCCAGCCAUUCCGCGUGAGUGAAGAAGGCCUUCGGGUUGUAAAGCUCUUUCGGCAGGAACGAAACGGUGGGCUCUAACAUAGCCUGCUAAUUACGGUACCUGAAGAAGAAGCACCGGCUAACUACGU